GACGAACGCUGGCGGCGUGCUUAACACAUGCAAGUCGAACGAUGAAGCUCUAGCUUGCUGGGGUGGAUUAGUGGCGAACGGGUGAGUAACACGUGAGUAACCUGCCCUUUACUUCGGGAUAAGCUUGGGAAACUGGGUCUAAUACCGGAUAUUCUGCGUGAUCGGAUGGUUGUGUAGGAAAGAUUUUUUGGUAAGGGAUGGGCUCGCGGCCUAUCAGUUUGUUGGUGGGGUGAUGGCCUACCAAGACGACGACGGGUAGCCGGCCUGAGAGGGCGACCGGCCACACUGGGACUGAGACACGGCCCAGACUCCUACGGGAGGCAGCAGUGGGGAAUAUUGCACAAUGGGGGAAACCCUGAUGCAGCGACGCCGCGUGGGGGAUGACGGCCUUCGGGUUGUAAACCUCUUUCAGUAGGGAAGAAGCGAAAGUGACGGUACCUGCAGAAGAAGUACCGGCUAACUACGUGCCAGCAGCCGCGGUAAUACGUAGGGUACUAGCGUUGUCGGGAAUUAUUGGGCGUAAAGAGCUCGUAAGUGGUUUGUCGCGUCUGCUGUGGAACGUGCCGCUUAUUUGUGCGCGUGCAGUGGGUACGGGCGGACUAGAGUGCAGUAGGGGAGUCUGGAAUUCCUGGUGUAGCGGUGAAAUGCGCAGAUAUCAGGAGGAACACCGGUGGCGAAGGCGGGACUCUGGGCUGUUACUGACGCUGAGGAGCGAAAGCAUGGGGAGCGAACAGGAUUAGAUACCCUGGUAGUCCAUGCCGUAAACGUUGGGCACUAGGUGUGGGGUCCAUUCCACGGAUUCUGCGCCGUAGCUAACGCAUUAAGUGCCCCGCCUGGGGAGUACGGCCGCAAGGCUAAAACUCAAAGGAAUUGACGGGGGCCCGCACAAGCGGCGGAGCAUGCGGAUUAAUUCGAUGCAACGCGAAGAACCUUACCAAGGCUUGACAUGCACUAGACCAUCGCAGAGAUGUGGUUUUCUUUUUGACUGGUGUACAGGUGGUGCAUGGUUGUCGUCAGCUCGUGUCGUGAGAUGUUGGGUUAAGUCCCGCAACGAGCGCAACCCUCGUUCUAUGUUGCCAGCACGUGAUGGUGGGAACUCAUGGGAGACUGCCGGGGUCAACUCGGAGGAAGGUGGGGAUGACGUCAAAUCAUCAUGCCCUUUAUGUCUUGGGCUUCACGCAUGCUACAAUGGCCGGUACAGAGGGUGGCGAUACCGUGAGGUGGAGCGAAUCUCUUAAAGCCGGUCUCAGUUCGGAUCGUAGUCUGCAACUCGACUACGUGAAGUCGGAGUCGCUAGUAAUCGCAGAUCAGCAAUGCUGCGGUGAAUACGUUCCCGGGCCU
rnacentral:rRNA from 1 species